rnacentral:rRNA from 1 species
AUUGAACGCUGGCGGCAUGCUUUACACAUGCAAGUCGAACGGCAGCGCGGGCUUCGGCCUGGCGGCGAGUGGCGAACGGGUGAGUAAUACAUCGGAACGUGCCCAGUAGUGGGGGAUAGCUCGGCGAAAGCCGGAUUAAUACCGCAUACGACCUGAGGGUGAAAGCGGGGGAUCUUCGGACCUCGCGCUAUUGGAGCGGCCGAUGUCAGAUUAGCUAGUUGGUGGGGUAAAGGCCUACCAAGGCGACGAUCUGUAGCUGGUCUGAGAGGACGACCAGCCACACUGGGACUGAGACACGGCCCAGACUCCUACGGGAGGCAGCAGUGGGGAAUUUUGGACAAUGGGCGAAAGCCUGAUCCAGCAAUGCCGCGUGUGUGAUGAAGGCCUUCGGGUUGUAAAGCGCUUUUGGCGGGAACGAAAAGGACUGUGCCAAUACCACGGUUGGAUGACGGUACCCGCAGAAUAAGCACCGGCUAACUACGUG